GAUGAACGCUAGCUACAGGCUUAACACAUGCAAGUCGAGGGACCGGCACACGGGUGAGUAACGCGUAUCCAACCUGCCCACCACUUGGGGAUAACCUUGCGAAAGUAAGACUAAUACCCAAUGGUGAUGGAUGGGGAUGCGUCUGAUUAGCUUGUUGGCGGGGUAACGGCCCACCAAGGCAACGAUCAGUAGGGGUUCUGAGAGGAAGGUCCCCCACAUUGGAACUGAGACACGGUCCAAACUCCUACGGGAGGCAGCAGUGAGGAAUAUUGGUCAAUGGACGAGAGUCUGAACCAGCCAAGUAGCGUGCAGGAUGACGGCCUAUGGGUUGUAAACUGCUUUUAUAAGGGAAUAUGUACCUUAUGAAUAAGGACCGGCUAAUUCCGUGCCAGCAGCCGCGGUAAUACGGAAGGUCCGGGCGUUAUCCGGAUUUAUUGGGUUUAAAGGGAGCGUAGGCCGGAGAUUAAGCGUGUUGUGAAAUGUAGAUGCUCAACAUCUGCACUGCAGCGCGAACUGGUUUCCUUGAGUACGCACAAAG
rnacentral:rRNA from 1 species